AACGAACGCCGGCGGCAGGCUUAACACAUGCAAGUCGAACGCCACCUUAUGGUGGAGUGGCAGACGGGUGAGUAACGCGUGGGAACGUACCUCUUGGUUCGGAAUAUUCUCGGGAAACUGAGAGCAAUACCGGAUAAGCCCUGAGGGGGACAGAUUUAUUGCCAAAAGAUCGGCCCGCGUUAGAUUAGCUAGUUGGUGAGGUAAAGGCUCACCAAGGCGACGAUCUAUAGCUGGUCUGAGAGGAUGAUCAGCCACAUUGGGACUGAGACACGGCCCAAACUCCUACGGGAGGCAGCAGUGGGGAAUAUUGGACAAUGGGCGCAAGCCUGAUCCAGCCAUGCCGCGUGAAUGAUGAAGGCCUUAGGGUUGUAAAAUUCUUUCAACGGUGACGAUAAUGACGGUAACCGUAGAAGAAGCCCCGGCUAACUUCGUGCCAGCCGCCGCGGUAACAC
rnacentral:rRNA from 1 species